UACGUAGGGGGCUAGCGUUGUCCGGAUUUAUUGGGCGUAAAGAGCGUGUAGGCGGCCAUGUAGGUCCGGUGUGAAAACUCGAGGCUUAACCUCGAGAUGUCAUCGGAAACCAUUUGGCUAGAGUCCGGAAGAGGAGAGUGGAAUUCCUGGUGUAGCGGUGAAAUGCGCAGAUAUCGGGAGGAACACCAAUGGCGAAGGCAGCUCGCUGGGACGGUACUGACGCUGAGACGCGAAAGCGUGGGGAGCAAACAGG
rnacentral:rRNA from 1 species